rnacentral:rRNA from 1 species
UACGUAGGGACCAAGCGUUGUUCGGAUUUACUGGGCGUAAAGGGCGCGUAGGCGGCUUAACAAGUCACUUGUGAAAUCUCCGGGCUUAACUCGGAACGGCCAAGUGAAACUGUCAAGCUAGAGUGCAGAAGGGGCAAUCGGAAUUCUUGGUGUAGCGGUGAAAUGCGUAGAUAUCAGGAGGAACACCAAUGGCGAAGGCAGCUCGCUGGGACGUGACUGACGCUGAGACGCGAAAGCGUGGGGAGCAAACAGG